UGCUCAGAUAACUUAAAUAAACAAGGCUUGAUGACGUAUACAGCCUGCAUAUGCGACCUCCGCAGGCUGCAACCUUCGGAUUGAGAAACGGCCUAUGUAUGUUGUUGCUGAAACGAAACCAUCCCGUUAGCACACUUGUAAUUCCGGUCCGGAGCCAGGAUCAUUUUGAAAAACAAACACCUGGUUGGGUUAUUUUGACCCAGCAAUUGGUUUAUUAAUUGCCGCACUUUCUGGAUUCUUCGCUUCUGACUGGAUCACGCUACUCGGACCAGGCGGUAUUUCAUGAGUUCAGUAGAAUCCACUGAAUUGACCCCAACAGAUCAUAUCACCAUGACAGUGGAACUUUUUUCAGCCUUUGCAGUUUGUCAGAUUUUGGAAAGCACCCCUGAGAGGAAAUCCGUAUUAAACCGUUAAAGUGCAAGCAAUUACCAACAAGCAGAGGAGGCUACUUGUGAGACUCCUUGCAUCCCAUCUGCUGGAAACCAAUGGUGAAACCUGAGCCAUCAUCAGACACUAAGAAGGCAUGUGACAAGGCAUUGGUGUAUGAAUUUCCUUGCCUGAAGGAUAUACAGCUGCUAAAGGGGAAACAGCACUGAAGAUGCCAACUCUGCUAGCUCCAUCCAUUUACAGGGGAGGAGGAGAAGUCUUCAGACAUACCACUGUGGAGGCCCAGAGGUCCUUUAUUGACAUGCAACCUGUGGGGACCAACAUGGUGGAAUAUCUGCAAAAUCAGAGAUGUUGCACGUUUUGUGACUUGGGGACGAGCCAAGAAGGACCUGCCAGACCUUUGCCAUUGUUGGAGGCAAUGCCUCUGAGACAAACUCUUUGGUGAAGGAUGUUGAUAAGUUUUUUUUUGUCUUUGAUGUUAACUACACAAAGCAAUAGGUGUGUUCGACUUCAUGCAGCGCUGCGCAGACCGAUCGGCAGGUGACUUGAAGCAGUGCAUUUUGGUUAGUACUUUUGUCCGACUUCAGCUGGCGCUGCAGGCACGUCACUGUGUCAUAUGGUUUUUAAGUACCGCGAGAGCGUUUCGAGAGUAGCCAGCUGGCUCAGCCGGUGCAGCUUCUCCAGAGCGGCUGCCCGGAGUUGUGAUGACGUAACAGCUUUACUUGAUUGGUCGCUUCAUUGAUGACAACGAUCACAUGCGUUUCAAGUUUAAUCCAACCUUUAGUUUCACUAAUAAACAUUAUAAAUUCCUGUUUUAAAACAGGAAAAAAAACACUUUAAUAUCCUAAAAUAUGUUAUAUUGUGUCGUGUAAUAAAAUAAAAAUGAAAAUAACAAACUCUAUUGGUAUUUUAAUAAUAUAGGCUUGUUUCCCGUUAUUUUCGGGUAUACAGUUUAAGCAGCAAUUAAAAUAUUCGAUAUAAAAUGUUUCUGGUUGCAACUUUUUAUCAAAAGGUUUGUUUUUAUCAAAUUCAGCAUCUAAUUCACUUAAUUUGCGAUUAUAAACAAGGAAACACGGCGCACACGUCACUACGGCAAGCAGCAGGUGUCCGGCUUGACGGCUCCGUCUUCAGUUCCUCCCUCGACUGCAAGCGACAAACCUCGUCGAUCGGUCUGCGCAGCGCCGGAUGAUCUCGAACACACCUAUUGUCUUCCCACCUGGGAGUUUCACCAGGAUGCCAUUUAUCAGAUUGAUGGACAUGAGUCCUCCUCUGUUAACAUUUUGAGGACAACAUUUAAUCACUAAUAAUUAACUAUUUCAGUGCUAUGUUUGAAAGAUUCGCCCACAAUGCAAUGCCAACAGAAGUUUACUUACAGGCUGUGAGGUCAAGUGGGAGGAAUUAUGAUAAUUUCGGUCUUGUCUACGUCACCAAUCCCAGGAAGUAAACUGUUGCCUACAAUCUGUGUUUGUUGUAGUCCAAGAAAAGAGAUCACUCGCAUUAUCGUUUACUUUGGGGUUUGUACCUUUUGCAUAUCGUUAACAUGAAUUAAUACACAAUUACACACCAAAGGAAAUGUAAAAAUGUGAAUCGGACCAUAGCUGCUCUUUAAAAAAAUUUUUGUUUCAGGGCUUCUUGUUUUUAAUAACAUUUUGAUGAAUGAAAAUGUAAAGUAAAUGAAAUGCUAAUCAUCAUAGUUUAAAUAUUAAGAGUUAUAAAGUCCGUGGGGAUUGUUUGAUGUCAUAAUGGGGUUGUAACUUUUGUAUUAUACAAAUAUACAAAAAUGUAAUUAAAACAUUGUAUUAAAUGUAAAAAAAAAAUUAAAGGCAAUUUAAAUCACAUU